GGGGUGCGGGGUGACGAGGGGACCAGACCCCAAAAUGGAAGGAUCCGUCACCAAAACAAUUGCUUGGUCAAGACCUCUAAUUUUUCUUCCCUUUCAGCCCAGGGCCUCAGCCUCGGCGCCCGCAGAGGGUCCCCCUGGCCUCCUGGUGCUGGGUUUCUGGUUUUAGGGACAUCCCCGACAGAAGGGUCCGGAAGUAGGCGCCCCCCCAGACGCCUAGCUGCCGCCGCACAAAAUCACACCCGGACACCCCUGGGGUGAAACUGACCAAAACUUGUCGUGGGGUGCAACUGACAGAGGUUGGUGGCAAAGAAAAGUUCCUGGUGAUCGUUGCCAAGGGGACCCUUGGCUUCCUGGUUGCCGUGACAACCGGGGAGUCCCGGCGACAGCUCUCAACAAUGGGGCACCCGCAGGAGUGCCCGGGCUGUUCUGAGGUCUGCGAGGUUCUCCCGCCCAUCGCCCAUCGCUCUUGGGCUCUUGGCUUUCCGCAGCCUCUCCUUCUCGGAUUCAACACGGCAGGGAUUGAAAAACUACCUCCUUUUGAAACGCAAGAGAACAUUGAGAUUUAGUGCGGUCUCUGAGGGUGGGCUCAGGUCUGGAGCAAAAGCCCUCACUUGGAGUUGAUGACUGUGACCUCCGAGGGGUGCGCCCAGGGACGCUUUCAUCCAAGCCCGAACCCCCAUAUUCUCAGCCAGCAUCCUGGGACUCCGGGAGGGCUGCGUCUCUGUCUCUGUCUCGCAUAUACUGUUCACCCCAAUCCGCUUUGGAGGCUCCCCGAGUACCUCCACGCAGCCCUUUCUCCGCCUGGAUUAACAUCUCAAUGGAAGGAGGAAGGCUGAGCCAGGAGGCCGCCCCUCUUCCUCGCCAGCAUUUUGCAUGACUGUUUCCAGAAAAGUCCUGCCUGAUUCCCCCGUAGCCCACGAUGCGGAAAGUAUUCUCAGUUGCAGCCCGUAUUUAUCCCUCAAGCCUCAAGCCAGGACACCCUGGAGGGAAGUAGGGGGGACUGGG